GCAAUCUACCUUUUACAGGGGGAUAGCCCAGAGAAAUUUGGAUUAAUACCCCAUAGUAUAGUGAGUUGGCAUCAACACACUAUUAAAGUCACAACGGUAAAAGAUGAGCAUGCGUCCCAUUAGCUAGUUGGUAAGGUAACGGCUUACCAAGGCUACGAUGGGUAGGGGUCCUGAGAGGGAGAUCC
rnacentral:rRNA from 1 species